UACGAGGGGGGCAAAUGUUGUUCGGAAUCACUGGGCGUAAAGGGUGCGUAGGCGGGUUUUUAAGUCAGGUGUUUAAUCCCGGGGCCCAACCCCGGACAGGCACUUGAAACUGGGAAUCUUGAAUAGUGGAGAGGUCAGUGGAAUUGGGGGUGUAGCGGUGGAAUGCGUAGAGAUCCCCAAGAACACCCGUUGCGAAGGCGGCUGACUGGACACAUAUUGACGCUGAGGCUCGAAAGCAUGGGGAGCAAACAGG
rnacentral:rRNA from 1 species